CCUACGGGGGGCAGCAGUGAGGAAUAUUGGUCAAUGGCCGAGAGGCUGAACCAGCCAAGUCGCGUGAGGGAAGACGGCCCUACGGGUUGUAAACCUCUUUUGUCGGGGAGCAAAGCGAGUCACGUGUGACUCAUUGAGAGUACCCGACGAAAAAGCAUCGGCUAACUCCGUGCCAGCAGCCGCGGUAAUACGGAGGAUGCGAGCGUUAUCCGGAUUUAUUGGGUUUAAAGGGUGCGCAGGCGGAGGUGCAAGUCAGCGGUCAAAUUGCGGGGCUCAACCCCGUACUGCCGUUGAAACUGCAGCCCUUGAGUGCGCGAGAAGUAUGCGGAAUGCGUGGUGUAGCGGUGAAAUGCAUAGAUAUCACGCAGAACUCCGAUUGCGAAGGCAGCAUACCGGCGCGCAACUGACGCUCAUGCACGAAAGCGUGGGUAUCGAACAGGAUUAGAUACCCGAGUAGUC
rnacentral:rRNA from 1 species